UAACAAGUAAAAACAAAACCAUUUCCUUCUCGAACUUAUUUUGAGCUAGAAGAAUUAUGUUCCAUAGCACCCACCCUAUAGUGUUGCAAUACUAAGGGAAUAAAAACUUCUAGAAGCUACAUACCUAUCGCAAAUAAAGAUAGCUAGUUUUCCUACAAAAUUAAUUUUCGUUAAGCAAACUAUUAAAAACACCCACACUAAAUAAUAGUUUUGUAAAAAAAUUUAGGCCAAUCUAAAUUUCUCCACUCACUAUCUCCCUAAUUUCACCUCCAUAGGCUUCAAACCAGCCAUUAAAAAGAAAUACGUUCUAGUAUUACUUAAAAAAUUCUUUACAAAUCAAAGUAUAAAAAAAGUAGGAUAUAUUUCACAAUACUAAAAGAAACACAAAUACUGUAUAAAAUGAUUAUUUUCUCACUAUUUUAACCUAAUAACACUAAAACUUCCUUAAAUAAAAAUUUUACUUAUUAAAUCCUCUCUCAGGAACUCGGCAAACAUGAACUUUGCCUGUUUAAUAAAAACAUGUCUUUUAGAAAAAAAAUUAAAAGUCCAACCUGCCCGGUGAUAGAUUUAACGGCCGCGGUAGCCUGACCGUGCUAAGGUAGCGUAAUCAUUUGCCCUUUAAUUGUGGGCUUGUAUGAAUGGUUAGACAAGAGUUCACCUGUCUCAGAGAAGCAUUUAAAAAUUAACCUUUAGGUGCAGAGGCCUAAAUUCUAGUAAAAGACAAGAAGACCCUAUCGAGCUUUAAUCUACUUUUUUGUAUAUAAAAUAAAAAGAUUUUUAUUGGGGCAAUAUAGGAACAAACAAAGCUUCCUAAAAACCACAAGAAGUACUUUUUUAAAAAGAAACAUUAAAAAUUAUUCUGAAAAUAGCUACCGUAGGGAUAACAGACUAAUCCCCCUUGAGAGUCCACAUUGACAGGGGGGCUUGGCACCUCGAUGUUGGCUUAAGAUAACCAUUAUUUUCUGAAGCAGAACUCUAAUAUGGUAGGUUUGUUCAACCUUUAAUAUCUUA
rnacentral:rRNA from 1 species